AGAUUAAGUUAUUAAGGGCGCACGGUGGAUGCCUUGGCACUAGAAGCCGAUGAAGGACGUUACUAACGACGAUAUGCUUUGGGUAGCUGUAAGUAAGCGUUGAUCCAGAGAUUUCCGAAUGGGGGAACCCAGCAUGAGUUAUGUCAUGUUAUCGACAUGUGAAUUCAUAGCAUGUCAGAAGGCAGACCCGGAGAACUGAAACAUCUUAGUACCCGGAGGAAGAGAAAGAAAAAUCGAUUCCCUGAGUAGCGGCGAGCGAAACGGGAAUAGCCCAAACCAACAAGCUUGCUUGUUGGGGUUGUAGGACACUCUAUACGGAGUUACAAAAGAACAUGUUAGACGAAUCAUCUGGAAAGAUGAAUCAAAGAAGGUAAUAAUCCUGUAGUCGAAAACAUAUUCUCUCUUGAGUGGAUCCUGAGUACGACGGAGCACGUGAAAUUCCGUCGGAAUCUGGGAGGACCAUCUCCUAAGGCUAAAUACUCUCUAGUGACCGAUAGUGAACCAGUACCGUGAGGGAAAGGUGAAAAGUACCCCGGAAGGGGAGUGAAAGAGAACUUGAAACCGUGUGCUUACAAGUAGUCAGAGCCCGUUAAUGGGUGAUGGCGUGCCUUUUGUAGAAUGAACCGGCGAGUUACGAUCUGAUGCAAGGUUAAGCAGCAAAUGUGGAGCCGCAGCGAAAGCGAGUCUGAAUAGGGCGUUGAGUAUUUGGUCGUAGACCCGAAACCAGGUGAUCUACCCUUGGUCAGGUUGAAGUUCAGGUAACACUGAAUGGAGGACCGAACCGACUUACGUUGAAAAGUGAGCGGAUGAACUGAGGGUAGCGGAGAAAUUCCAAUCGAACUUGGAGAUAGCUGGUUCUCUCCGAAAUAGCUUUAGGGCUAGCCUCAAGUGAUGAUUAUUGGAGGUAGAGCACUGUUUGGACGAGGGGCCCCUCUCGGGUUACCGAAUUCAGACAAACUCCGAAUGCCAAUUAAUUUAACUUGGGAGUCAGAACAUGGGUGAUAAGGUCCGUGUUCGAAAGGGAAACAGCC
rnacentral:rRNA from 1 species